UACGAAGGGGACUAGCGUUGUUCGGAUUUGCUGGGCGUAAAGCGCGCGUAGGCGGAUCGCUAAGUCAGGGGUGAAAUCCCAGGGCUCAACCCUGGAACUGCCUUUGAUACUGACGAUCUGGAGAUCGGGAGAGGUUGGUGGAAUUCCGAGUGUAGAGGUGAAAUUCGUAGAUAUUCGGAGGAACACCAGAAGCGAAGGCGGCCAACUGGCCCGAUACUGACGCUGAGGCGCGAAAGCGUGGGGAGCAAACAGG
rnacentral:rRNA from 1 species